UUACGACCAUAUUGCGUUUAAACACCGGUUCCCGUACGUUCACCAAAGUUAAGCAACGUCGAGUCUGGUCAGUACCUAAAUAGGUGACCCUUUGGUAAUACCAGGUGCUGUAAG